CACGAGAUGAAGUGAUCUGAGAAAGCCACUAUGGCUUCACCAAGGGCAGAUUGUUACUGACCAACCUGGUGGCCUUCUGUGAUGGAGUGACAACAUCAGUGGACAAAGGAUGUCAUCCACCUGGACUUCUGCAAGGCUUUUGACAUGGUCCUGCACCACAUUCUUAUCUCUAAAUUGGAGAGAGAUCAUAGGCACUCUGUUGCCUCCUCACUAGUCCCAAGUACUUUCAGAUGGAGUCUCAUAUGCUGGUGUACUGGAGGAGAAAGGGUGAAAGACUGAGUGCACUCUCAGGCCUUGACCU
ensembl:lncRNA